rnacentral:lncRNA from 1 species
AGGAUAAAUUAAACUUUGGACUAAAUUACACAAAACUUUUCUGUAAAUAUUCGUUUUUUCACUUUUCCUUCCUAACCUUCAAAAACCAACAUUUUAAUCCCUCAACAUUUCAAGUUGUUGCAUUUAGCUCUCAUCCGUCAGGAUUCUAUCACUAUUCUGCUUAUUUCUUAUAAUUUAUACCAAAAAUAUCUUUGAAAAUAACAAAAAUAUAUUAAAAAAUUAUUUUUUAUAGAAGAAGUAAGGGUCAUUUGGUCAUUUUGCCCUCUCCAUUAAUGCGGUAUCUCCCUGAAAAUAUUUCUAAAAUUUUAAAAGAACAAAUUAUAAAUUUUAAAAUGUUAGGGAGGAAAAAUAAAAAAACAAAUAUUUAUAGAAAAGUUUUUUUGUAAU